CGGGGCUCCCACCUUUCUCCUCCGCCUUCCCCAUUUUGCGCUUGGCGUCGGAGCGGCCCAGGUGGAAGAUGGAUUUCCACUUCUUGGCCUUCAGGGACCCCUUCCUCCUGCGGGGACAGCGUCCGAGUGCGUGCUUGUGCGCCCGUGUGCACGCUUGUGCGUCCACGUGCGUGCUUGUGCACCUACGUGCGUGCUUGGGCGCGCGUCUGCAUCUACGUGCGUCGCUCUACCCGCGUGUGCAUGUAAUAUUCUGCACGUGUGUUCAGCACUCUGCACCUGUGCGCACGCUUGGGCACACUUGUGCAUGCACGUGCAUGACCGGGAACACUUGUGCACACUCCUGCGUGUACGUGCGUCACUCUACCUGCUUGUGCAUGCACUAUUCUGCACUAUUCUGCACGUGAUGCUGAAUGCAUGUGCCUGCUUCUGCACGCACGCCCAAUUCUGCACUUGUGUGCACGCGUGUGCAUGCUUCCACCUGCCUGUGCACACUUGCGCGUGCUUUUGCGUCCACGUGCACGCACGUGCGCGAUGUUGCUCCACCUGCUUGUGCACAAUUCUGCGUGGACGUGCGCGUGCCCCCGCGUGUGCUUGCUUCUGCUUGCACGCGCAUCGCUCUGCCUGCUCGUGCGUGCACGCUCCUGCACGCUUGUGCACGCUUGUGCACGCCCACCUGUGGUCGCUGAGCUCGAUGAUGGUGUGGUAGGGCCGGAUCGGGGGGGGCCCGUCGCCCUGGCUGAGCGCUGCGGGGACGUUGUAGGGCCCCGAUCCGUCACCGGGGAGCAACCGGGAGCGCCGCGCUGCAUCGCUGCCUGCGAGAGGUCAGGGGUCAGAGGUCAGGGGUCAGAGGUCAGGGGUCGGGGGGCACAGGGAGCUGAUAGCAAAGGUCAGGGGGUCAAGAGGGGUCAAAGGAUCCGGACAGGAGGGGUCAUGGGGGUCAUAGGGAUGUGGCAUGGUCACGUGUCACCCCCGUCCCAGUGGGGACAUACUGCAAAGGGGUCAGGGGUCAAGGGUCAGGAGGGGUCACGGAGAGCUGACGUAAGGGUCAAGGGUCAGGAGAGGUCAAAGGGACCUGACAUGAGGGGUCAGAGGUCAGGAGGGGUCAUGGGGGCAUGUGUCACCCCUGUCCCAGUGGGGACAUGCCACAGAGGGGUCAGGGGUCAGGAGGGGUCACAGGAACCUGACGCAAGGGGUCAGGGGUCAGAGGUCAGGAGG
rnacentral:lncRNA from 1 species